rnacentral:rRNA from 1 species
CACGUAGGGUGCGAGCGUUGUCCGGAAUCAUUGGGCGUAAAGAGCGUGUAGGCGGCCCGGUAAGUCCGCUGUGAAAGUCCAGGGCUCAACCCUGGGAUGCCGGUGGAUACUGUCGGGCUCGAGUCCGGAAGAGGAGUGUGGAAUUCCUGGUGUAGCGGUGAAAUGCGCAGAUAUCAGGAGGAACACCAAUGGCGAAGGCAGCACUCUGGGACGUGACUGACGCUGAGACGCGAAAGCGUGGGGAUCAAACAGG